rnacentral:rRNA from 1 species
GGAAUUGUUCGCAAUGGGCGCAAGCCUGACGACGCAACGCCGCGUGGAGGAUGAAGGUCCUCGGAUUGUAAACUCCUGUUGCCCGGGACGAAUGGCUCCGACCUAACACGUCGGAGUGUGACGGUACCGGGUGAGGAAGCCACGGCUAACUCUGUGGCAGCAGCCGCGGUACUACAGAGGGGGCCAGCGUUGUUCGGAAUUCCUGGGCGUAAAGGGCGCGUAGGCGGCCUUCUAAGUCGAACGUGAAAUCCCCGGGCUCAACCCGGGAACUGCGUCCGAUACUGGAAGGCUUGAAUCCGGGAGAGGGAUGCGGAAUUCCAGGUGUAGCGGUGAUAUGCGUAGAUAUCUGGAGGAACACCGGUGGCGAAGGCGGCAUCCUGGACCGGUAUUGACGCUGAUGCGCGAAAGCCAGGGGAGCAAAC